rnacentral:lncRNA from 1 species
UUACACAUUUCAGGUGACAAUCCUCUUCCCAAGGGGGGCAGGGCCCUUGAGUCUCCACAUACCUGGCACUUCUGCUAUACGUACCAGAAAACCAGCAACUUGCAAAAAUGUUCCUGGCUUGUGGAAAAAGACAUUGAAUGACCCUAUGAAAAUCUUUGGUGUCCUGGGAUUUGAGGAAUUAGAAGGGAUUCAUUUCAGUUCCCCAAAAGGCACCAUUUCUACGUGCGUCAUCCAUUCUUUCUAUAAUGUCAAGUAGUCCUGAGGGCCUAAGUGAACCUGUAAAAUUCUUACCUCUUGAACUUCUGUUCUGUUACAGCAGUGGGAAUGUGAAUAAUGUAAUGGAAUUACACCGCUGUUGCACUUUGCAACAGUAGAAUUGGUCUCUCAGCUAUAAACAGAAAGCAGUGAAUGUGGGUAGCAGUAAUUGCAGACUUACAUCUCCGUGGAUGGAUCUGCCAAGCUGAACAAUAUGACAGAGUCAGAAUACAGGAUUUAAACUCUUCUUUCUCCUCUCCUCUGCAAUGUACGGUAUUUCUCAAAAAUAAUAUAAUAUUUCCUUAAUUGAAUUGAAGCUUAAGGCCAAAAGGGGAACAGUCUGACCUCAUAAUACAAGCCAAAGAACAUCACUAGCAAUUUCUGCAUUUUUAAUUUGAUUUAUUAAGCUCAUAGCUUCUAAACACUGGCUGUCUCUCCAAAGCCAUCCAGUCUAGAUUUAAAAAUUUCAAAUGAUGGAAAAUCCACCAUAUCUUUAGUUAAGUUAUCUUCAUGGUUAUCUUUAGGGCUGUGCAAAGCUUUGACUUAAUAUUUGAUUCGACUCGUAUUUGACCUUGAAAAGUGAAAGUCGAGUCGAAUAGCAGUUGGUCGAAUAGCUGUCGAAUCGAAUACCAGGAGUCGAAUAUUAACAGCGCGGGUCAAAUAUUCAACAACGGUCGAAUAUUCAACUUGCCUUUACUGGAUUCCCUGUGGGGGACAAAAAAAGGAAAGUAAGGGAAGGGAGGGGGAGGGAGGAAGGAGUGCUUUCAUGACUCACAUGUGUGGCUGGCCAGUGACCUGUCAGCAUUCUCUGAGGUCCCUUCCAAUCCCAGUGCUCUGGGGGAGGGCCAGAGAAAAUGCAUAAAAGGCAGCAGUUUUUCAGCUCCCUGCUUUCUGCCUCAGGGUCAGUUUCUGAGCUGCUGGUGUUCUCCAGCACCUCUGCGUCAGACCACGACAGCUGGAAGCCCUGAUCUUCAACAGAUUCCCUGCUUGCAAUGCUAGCAACAGGGAUUUCUGAGAACUUAGUGCUUUUAUUUUAUAACUACUUUUCAUAUUUUACGCUUAUAUUGGAUAGGGUUAGUAGUAGCCUAGGAUCUAUUCUAUAUAUAGGAAUUUAGUUUCUAUUUUUUUUAUACAUCAUUCAUUCUUUCCACCACACCAACGCUUCUCAAUAUAUCAUCUACAUGCACAAACACAUUUACAUAAGAUCUGCAAAUCUAACCCACGGUGCACAGCAAACUUAGGUUCCAGUUUACAUACGAAGGAACACAUUAUGAAGCCGGGUGGAAAGGCAGGUGGCUGCACUGGC